UACAGAGGUGGCAAGCGUUGUUCGGAAUUACUGGGCGUAAAGGGCGCGUAGGCGGUCUUAUAAGUCUCGUGUGAAAUCCCUCGGCUUAACUGAGGAACUGCACGGGAUACUGCAAGACUUGAGAUCGGGAGAGGGAAGCGGAAUUCCGGGUGUAGCGGUGAAAUGCGUAGAUAUCCGGAGGAACACCGGUGGCGAAGGCGGCUUCCGGGACCGACACUGACGCUGAGGCGCGAAAGCUAGGGGAGCAAACGGG
rnacentral:rRNA from 1 species